UACGUAGGCAGCAAGCGUUGUUCGGAGUUACUGGGCGUAAAGGGUGCGUAGGCGGUUGUUUAAGUUUGGUGUGAAAUCUCCCGGCUCAACUGGGAGGGUGCGCCGAAUACUGAAUGACUAGAGUGCGGGAGAGGAGAGUGGAAUUCCCGGUGUAGUGGUGAAAUGCGUAGAGAUCGGGAGGAACACCAGUGGCGAAGGCGGCCGGCUGGGGGUGACCUGACGCUGAGGCGCGAAAGGCGUGGGGAGCGAACCGG
rnacentral:rRNA from 1 species